AUGCAGACUGUCAGAGAUCAGCUGUUCUUCUCUGGCUUCAGCUCUGAGGUCAAACCCCUCUCAUCUGAGAGAACUGGAUCUUAUAGGAAACAACCUGAAGGACUCAGCAGUGAAGGAGCUGCUUGAUCUACAGCAGAGUUCAACCUGUCGACUGGAGACUCUGAGGUGGAAGUACUGAAUGGAGCUGAGUGUGAAGAGGACAGUGUGUGUGGACGGAGGCUGAGCUGUGUCCUGAGGAUCCAGAGGCUGAAGCAGCAGCAGCUUGUGUGUAGUCUCCAAUCUACACAACCCCUAAUCUGCAGAACAUGCAGACUCCACACAGGAAGACCCAUCUGAACCGGAUUCAAACCUGUCGAGAAGGCUGUGAUACAUGAUUUGUGAUUUUGUGAUACGUGAUGUUGUGAUAUAUGAUGUUGUGAUAUAUGAUGAUGGCUUUACUGGUGCCAUAUGCUUGGCCCUAUUGUAAUUUGAAGGAUUUGUAUUUCCGCUUUUGGGGAUUUUUCAGGGCCUCGUUUUAAUUAUUUCUAUAAAUGAUACAUUGUGAAUUUAACCAAC